CUACGGGCCGCACCAGUGAGGAAUAUUGCACAAUGGGGGGAACCCUGAUGCAGCAACGCCGCGUGGAGGAUGACGCAUUUCGGUGUGUAAACUCCUUUUAUAUGUCAAGAAAAUGACGGUAGCAUAUGAAUAAGCACCGGCUAACUCCGUGCCAGCAGCCGCGGUAAUACGGAGGGUGCCAGCGUUACUCGGAAUCACUGGGCGUAAAGGAAGCGUAGGCGGGUUGGGAAGUCAGGUGUGAAAUCCUACAGCUUAACUGUAGAACUGCACUUGAAACUUCUAAUCUAGAGUAUGGGAGGGGGAGAUGGAAUUAGUGGUGUAGGGGUAAAAUCCGUAGAUAUCACUAGGAAUACCUAAAGCGAAGGCGAUCUCCUGGAACAUUACUGACGCUAAGGCGUGAAAGCGUGGGGAGCAAACAGGAUUAGAUACCCUCGUAGUC
rnacentral:rRNA from 1 species